AUUGAACGCUGGCGGCAUGCUUUACACAUGCAAGUCGAACGGUAACAGGCCGCAAGGUGCUGACGAGUGGCGAACGGGUGAGUAAUGCAUCGGAACGUGCCCAGUCGUGGGGGAUAACGCAGCGAAAGCUGCGCUAAUACCGCAUACGAUCUAUGGAUGAAAGCGGGGGACCGUAAGGCCUCGCGCGAUUGGAGCGGCCGAUGUCAGAUUAGGUAGUUGGUGGGGUAAGGCUCACCAAGCCAACGAUCUGUAGCUGGUCUGAGAGGACGACCAGCCACACUGGGACUGAGACACGGCCCAGACUCCUACGGGAGGCAGCAGUGGGGAAUUUUGGACAAUGGGCGCAAGCCUGAUCCAGCAAUGCCGCGUGCAGGAAGAAGGCCUUCGGGUUGUAAACUGCUUUUGUACGGAACGAAACGGUCCUGGUUAAUACCUGGGGCUAAUGACGGUACCGUAAGAAUAAGCACCGGCUAACUACGUGCCAGCCGCCGCCGUAAGAC
rnacentral:rRNA from 1 species